CGGCCAAUUUCGGAAGCCGGAAAGGCCACUUCGGUGGUACUCGAGCGGCGAACGGGUGAGCAACACAAUAAGUAAUCUGCCCUUGGCUUCGGGAUAGCCACCGUUAAACGGUGAUUAAUACCGGAUAUGCACUGCUUCUCGCAUGGGUGGUGGUGGAAAGUUCUUCGGCCAGGGAUGUGCUCGCGGCCUAUCAGCUUGAUGGUGAGGUAAUGGCUCACCAUGGCUUCGACGGGUAGCCGGCCUGAGAGGGUGACCGGUCACACUGGGACUGAGACACGGCCCAGACUCCUACGGGAGGCAGCAGUGGGGAAUAUUGGACAAUGGGCGGAAGCCUGAUCCAGGAACGCCGCGUGAGGGAUGACGGCCUUCGGGUUGUAAACCUCUUUCAGCAGGGACGAAGCGCAAGUGACGGUACCCGCA
rnacentral:rRNA from 1 species